rnacentral:tRNA from 2 species
GCCACCGUAGCUCAGCUGGAAGAGCAGCUGACUUGUAAUCAGCAGGUCGGGAGUUCGAAUCUCCCCGGUGGCU